rnacentral:rRNA from 1 species
UACAGAGGGUGCAAGCGUUAAUCGGAAUUACUGGGCGUAAAGCGUGCGUAGACGGUUAUUUAAGUCAGGUGUGAAAGCCCAGGGCUCAACCUUGGAAUUGCAUUUGAGACUGAAUAGCUAGGGUGCGGAAGAGGGAAGCGGAAUUUCCGGUGUAGCGGUGAAAUGCGUAGAUAUCGGAAGGAACACCAGUGGUGAAAGCGGCUUCCUGGUCCAGCACCGACGUUCAGGCACGAAAGCGUGGGGAGCAAACAGG